rnacentral:rRNA from 1 species
UACGGAGGGUGCGAGCGUUGUCCGGAAUCACUGGGCGUAAAGGGCGCGUAGGUGGCCUGUGGAAGUCUGCGGUGAAAGCCCGGCGCUCAACGCCGGGUCGGCCGUGGAUACUCUCGGGCUUGAGCUUACUAGAGGCAGAUGGAAUUCCGGGUGUAGCGGUGGAAUGCGCAGAUAUCAGGAGGAACACCGGUGGCGAAGGCGGGUCUCUGGGCCGAUACUGACGCUGAGGAGCGAAAGCGUGGGGAGCGAACAGG